CCCAAAUUCACCUCUGUCCACAUCCGUUGCUAGUUGCAGACAGUGGCAAAAACAUCCGGCAAUAAACAAGUCGAUGGUAAGCACCCUGACCAUUGUGAUCCAUUCCAACACUCCGUCUCCCACCACCAUCGGCCUCAAGCUUGACCCAUCCACCACAUCACUUCCGUGGACACUUUUCAUCAUUCAUCUUCUACAAGAAGAUAAUGAGCGAGGUCCCUUUUGCUGACUAGCAUCCUGUCAAAAGGAAGAUCCAUGCGCAUCUAGCUGUUGUUUGAGC
rnacentral:lncRNA from 1 species